GGCCCUAAGGUGUUGUUUUAGUUGCACAUCUCUCUUACACAGAGAAGGGGAGAUUAUCUCUGGGGCUU
rnacentral:tRNA from 1 species